rnacentral:rRNA from 1 species
GAUGAACGCUGGCGGCGUGCCUAAUACAUGCAAGUCGAGCGAACGGACAAGAAGCUUGCUUCUCUGAUGUUAGCGGCGGACGGGUGAGUAACACGUGGAUAACCUACCUAUAAGACUGGGAUAACUUCGGGAAACCGGAGCUAAUACCGGAUGAUAUUUUGAACCGCAUGGUUCAAAAGUGAAAGACGGUCUUGCUGUCACUUAUAGAUGGAUCCGCGCUGCAUUAGCUAGUUGGUAAGGUAACGGCUUACCAAGGCAACGAUGCAUAGCCGACCUGAGAGGGUGAUCGGCCACACUGGAACUGAGACACGGUCCAGACUCCUACGGGAGGCAGCAGUAGGGAAUCUUCCGCAAUGGGCGAAAGCCUGACGGAGCAACGCCGCGUGAGUGAUGAAGGUCUUCGGAUCGUAAAACUCUGUUAUUAGGGAAGAACUUAUGUGUAAGUAACUGUGCACAUCUUGACGGUACCUAAUCAGAAAGCCACGGCUAACUACGUG